GGCGUGGCAUACGGCUCAGUAACACGUAGUCAACAUGCCCAAAGGACGUGGAUAACCUCGGGAAACUGAGGAUAAACCGCGAUAGGCCAAGGUUUCUGGAAUGAGCCAUGGCCGAAAUCUAUAUGGCCUUUGGAUUGGACUGCGGCCGAUCAGGCUGUUGGUGAGGUAAUGGCCCCACCAACCCUGUAACCGGUACGGGCUUUGAGAGAAGGAGCCCGGAGAUGGGCACUGAGACAAGGGCCCAGGCCCUAUGGGGCGCAGCAGGCGCGAAACCUCUGCAAUAGGCGAAAGCUUGACAGGGUUACUCUGAGUGAUGCCCGCUAAGGGUAUCUUUUGGCACCUCUAAAAAUGGUGCAGAAUAAGGGGGUGGGGCAAGUCUGGUGUCAGCCCGCCCGCGGUAAUACCAGCACCCCGAGUUGUAAGAGAAAAAUUAUUGGGCCUAAAGCAUCCGUAGCCUGUUCUGCAAGUCCUCCGUUAAAUCCACCUGCUCAACGGAUGGGCUGCGGAGGAUACCGCAGAGCUAGGAGGCGGGAGAGGCAAACGGUACUCAGUGGGUAGGGGUAAAAAUCCCAUUUGAUCUACUGAAGACCACCAGUGGCGAAGGCGGUUUGCCAGAACGCGCUCGACGGUGAGGGAUGAAAGCUGGGGGAGCAAACCGGAUUAGAUACCCGGGUAGUCCCAGCUGUAAACGAUGCAGACUCGGUGAUGGGUUGGCCUCGAGCCAACCCAGUGCCGCAGGGAAGCC
rnacentral:rRNA from 1 species